rnacentral:rRNA from 1 species
GACGAACGCUGGCGGCGUGCUUAACACAUGCAAGUCGAACGAUGAACCCGGAGCUUGCUCUGGGGGAUUAGUGGCGAACGGGUGAGUAACACGUGAGUAACCUGCCCUGGACUCUGGGAUAAGCGUUGGAAACGACGUCUAAUACCGGAUAGGACCUUGGAUCGCAUGAUCUGGGGUGGAAAGUUUUUUCGGUCUGGGAUGGACUCGCGGCCAAUCAGCUUGUUGGUGAGGUAAUGGCUCACCAAGGCGUCGACGGGUAGCCGGCCUGAGAGGGUGACCGGCCACACUGGGACUGAGACACGGCCCAGACUCCUACGGGAGGCAGCAGUGGGGAAUAUUGCACAAUGGGCGAAAGCCUGAUGCAGCAACGCCGCGUGCGGGAUGACGGCCUUCGGGUUGUAAAACGCUUUUAGUAGGGAAGAAGGGCUUCGGCUUGACGGUACCUGCAGAAAAAGGACCGGCUAACUACGUG